rnacentral:lncRNA from 1 species
AAAUGAUCUUAUUAUGUUUUAAAAGCAUUCAUUAAGACUUAGUAACUUUAAAGCCCGGCUCCAUCACUUGUCUUCUCCUUCGUCAUCUAUAUUGCCCGAAUACAGGGAAUCUUACAGAUAGUAACUUCCAGGUGCCAGCUGUAGGUGUAUUAGAAUGUAACCAUCUUCCCAGGAGACCCCCAACUAAUGGCUCCCGGACCUCCAGGGACCCAGCUAAGACUCCAAAGCACUUCAGCCUCGUUAAAGGAGCUGAUCUGUGCAUCUGUCCUCUGGGAUACAGAAUAUUACCUCACUCUUCUUCCAUCAGAACUUAAUUUAUCUCUGAGUAAAUCCAGAAGGUCACCGUUUCGGAUCCAUCUCCAUUAUAACCAGCCUUUCCUCCACCAGACCCCUGGCUGCAGACCUCAUACUUAACCCAAAGCCCUGCAGUUUAACCUGCCUGCGCAUUAACCUCAAACGCCUGCUAGUGGGGAGCUUGGGAGCCGGGAGCCGGGAGCCGGAUCGGCCUGAGCGCAUGCACGAAGUCCUCGGAGGCUCCAGGCGUUCUCGCCUCGUUACCGCGGAAGCAUCUCCUCUCGCGGGAGUGAUUUGAAGCCCGGCGGGAACCGGGCUUGCCAGGGCUGAGUCUGAGGGGACGUUCGCGAGCUGCAGCUCGGAGCGCGUGGGCCGGGGAGAAGCAGCUGCUGAUGAACAAGGGCUCUCAGGCGGGCUGUCGCAGCAGCAGCAGCGCCAGAGCCACCGGCUGAUGGUGGAUCCACUCCGCUUCCAGGUCCAGCCGCGACCCAGGCGAUAAAUCCUAAUAAAUCCCAGAGUGACGCACAGCCCCUGUGCGAGUAUCUCUGAGAUUGUUGACGUUUGGGUUCCGGUUUACCUUGUCUAUUUACUUAGAAUACUAUAGUGUUUUUGAUAAUCACAGUAGUCUUGUGUGGGCUUUUAGAUUAAGACAACCAUUGAUUUAAAAAAAAACUAUAAAUUCAUUAAUUAGAUGUACAUAUGUAUCUUUCCCUGUAAUGAUUUUUAAUAAAACACAUUUUGAAGUCACU